rnacentral:rRNA from 1 species
UACAGGGGGGGCAAGCGUUGUUCGGAAUUACUGGGCGUAAAGGGUUUGUAGGUGGCUUGCUAAGUCAGACGUGAAAUCCCUCAGCUUAACUGGGGAACUGCGUCUGAUACUGGCGAGCUUGAGUGCAGGAGAGGAACGCGGAAUUCCAGGUGUAGCGGUGAAACGCGUAGAUAUCUGGAGGAACACCGGUGGCGAAGGCGGCGUUCUGGACUGCAACUGACACUGAAAAACGAAAGCCAGGGGAGCAAACGGG